CACCCAACAGCUAGCCCUCCCACCCAAAAAUAACAAGAAAACAUCAAUAUUCCCUAAAACCGGAACAUCCUUAAAACAAACCAUUUUUCCCCCUAAGUAUGGGCGACAGAAAAGGACCACAGGCGCUAUAGAAAAG
rnacentral:rRNA from 1 species